rnacentral:rRNA from 1 species
UAGCAGCUAGCAGAAUCAGCUGGAAAGCUGAACCAAAGAAGGUGAUAGUCCUGUAAGCAAAAGCUAUUGCACUCUCACGAUUGUUAUUCUCGAGUACCAUGGAACAAGAGAAAUUCUAUGGGAAACCAGGACGACUAUUGUCCUAAGGCUAAAUACAUUUUGUGACCGAUAGUGAACUAGUACCGUGAGGGAAAGGUGAAAAGCACCCCGGUGAGGGGAAUGAAAUAGUAUCUGAAACCAUAUGCUUACAAGUAGUCGAAGCCGGCGCGCAAGCGUUCGGUAACGGCGUGCCUAUUGAAGAAUGAACCAACGAGUUAUCACUAAAUGGUGGGUUAAGUUCUACGGAACGAGGCCUCAGUGAAAGCAAGCGUGUCAAAAGCGCGUUUUAAAAGUAUUGGGUAAGAAGCUUUACGGCUUUUUGCUCAAUAUCUUUUUACAUCAUUUGGUAUAAACCCGAAGCCGGGUGACCUAUCCAUGGCCAGGUUGAACCCUAACGAAAGUUAGGGGGAGGACCGAACCAUUUCGCCGUGCAACACGUUUGGAUGAGCUGUGGAUAGCGGAGAAAUUCUAAUCGAACUCGGCAAUAGCUGGUUCUCCUCGAAAUAGCUUUAGGGCUAGCCUGCAUACGAUCUUACUGGGGGUAGAGCACUGAAUGGGUAAAGAUGGCGUGAGCCUACUUUACCUAACCAAACUCCGAAUACCAGAAAGCCACGUAUGUGGAGUCAGACUGUGGGGUCUAAGCUUCACUAGUCGAAAGGGAAACAGCCCAGAUCUCAAUCUAAGGUCCCCAAAUUACAGCUAAGUGUAAAAGGUAGUGUUAGGUCUUAUACAACCAGGAGGUUGGCUUAGAAGCAGCCAUCCUUUAAAGAAAGCGUAAUAGCUCACUGGUCAAGACUUUUCGCGCCGAAAAUGUAUCGGGGCUCAAGCUGUGUACCGAAGAUGAGGGCUCAACUGUAUGCGAAUACAGUUUUGAGCGGUAGAGGAGCGUUCACUGCAGCGUCGAAGCGAAAGGCGUGAGCCAUCGUGGAGCGCAGUGAAGUGAGAAUGUUGGUAUAAGUAGCAAGAAUUGGGGUGAGAACCCCCAACACCGUAAACCUAAGGUUUCCUGGGCAACGAAAAUCGACCCAGGGUUAGUCGGUCCUAAGGCGAGGCUGAAAAGCGUAGUCGAUGGACAGCAGGUUAAUAUUCCUGCGCUACCGUAAAGUUAUUCGUGAAUGACGCAUCUAUCAAAGCGUAGUGUGCUUUUGGUAACGUACAUGGCUGGUUCGCAGAAGUGCGAAUUGGACGCAGGUGCGGCCGCAAGGCCAAGCCGAUUAUGCUGUAACAGGUGCCAAGAAAAAAUUCACGAUCAUGCUUUAUGGUAUCCGUACCGUAAACCGACACAGGUGGGUGGGCAUAAGUGUGCUCAGGUGUACGAGAGAAACAUCGUCUAGGAACUCGGCAAAUAAGCGUCCGUACCUUCGGUAUAUGGACUGCCAUCUUCGGAUGGCCGCAGCUAAAGAUCCCAAGCGACUGUUUACCAAAAACACAGGUCCCUGCGAAACCGUAAGGUGAUGUAUAGGGGCUGAUGCCUGGCCAGUGUCAGAACGUUAAAGUGAGGGGUCAUGAUUGGAGCAAUCCUUUCGGCAGCCUUGAUCUGAAGCGCUGAUGAACGCCGGCGGUAACUAUAACCGUCCUAAGGUUUUGGCACUCUUCAACGAAAGAGUGUCAGAAGGACUGGGACGAUUAUAUUACUAAGUGUAUGUGUGCCAAAUAAUAAGUGCAGUAAUAAGCUGCCUCAUGAUAAUAAUCAUGGUCCUUAAAAACAUCCGACCAUAUGCUGGAAUAUCCGUGUAUCUGGUGGUACUCGAAAGAGUGACAAUCCAUCCAGUGCGGACAAUCAGCAGGAAAGACCUGUCCACGGACAGGAAUCCUCAGAGACUCAUACGUCGGAAUCCAAAAGUGGAUAAGAUAGAGUCCGAUCUCUGCAGCGAUGCGGAGUCAAGACAACUCAAACGCACGAGCUACAGGUUAUAAGGUCCCGAGCGAGUGCAAACCCCUAAAGGGAAAAGAGUAGUCUUGGCGAGAAAAACCGUAAGGUUUGUCUCGACCAAUAUAAGCGAAAUUCCUUGUCGGGUAAAUUCCGACCUGCACGAAUGGCAUAACGAUUUGGGAGCUGUCUCGACGAUGUACUCGGCGAAAUUACAAGACGAGUAAAGAUGCUCGUUACGCGCAGUUAGACGAAAAGACCCUGUGAAGCUUUACUACAACUUGGCAUUGACAUAUGUGUCACUCUGCUUAGCAUACGCGGGAGACGUUGAUCCCACAUCUUUGGGUGUGGUGGAGUCGCCAGUGAAAUACCGCGCUGAUUGUUAUGUAUAUCUAACUUCUCGCCCUCAAUCGGGCAGGAAGACAGUGUCUGGUGGGUAGUUUGACUGGGGCGGUGGCCUCCAAAAAGGUAACGGAGGCGUUUACAAAGGUCGGCUAGGCUCGGAUGGAAAUCGAGCUGAUAGGGCAAACCCAUAUGCCGGCUUGACUGCAAGGCUGACACGCCGAGCAGGUACGAAAGUAGAAGUUAGUGAUCCGACCGUACGAUAUAGGACGGCGGAAGCUCAACGGAUAAAAGUUACUCCAGGGAUAACAGGCUGAUCCCCUCCAAGAGUUCACAUCGACGAGGGGGUUUGGCACCUCGAUGUCGGCUCAUCGCAUCCUGGGGCUGGAGAAGGUCCCAAGGGUUUGGCUGUUCGCCAAU